AAACGCGAUUUCCUGAGUAGCGGCGAGCGAAACGGAAUUAGCCCAAACCAAGAGGCUUGCCUCUUGGGGUUGUAGGACACUCUAUACGGAGUUACAAAGGAACGGAGUAAAUGAAGAGGUCUGGAAAGGCCCGUCAAAGAAGGUAACAACCCUGUAGUUGAAACUUCGUUCCCUCCAGAGUGGAUCCUGAGUACGGCGGGACACGUGAAAUCCCGUCGGAAGCAGGGAGGACCAUCUCCCAAGGCUAAAUACUCCCUAGUGACCGAUAGUGAACCAGUACCGUGAGGGAAAGGUGAAAAGCACCCCGGAAGGGGAGUGAAAGAGAUCCUGAAACCGUGUGCCUACAAGUAGUCAAAGCCCGUUAAUGGGUAAUGGCGUGCCUUUUGUAGAAUGAACCGGCGAGUUACGAUCCCGUGCAAGGUUAAGUUGAAGAGACGGAGCCGCAGCGAAAGCGAGUCUGAAUAGG
rnacentral:rRNA from 1 species